rnacentral:rRNA from 1 species
AUUGAACGCUGGCGGCAUGCCUUACACAUGCAAGUCGAACGGUAACAGGUCUUCGGAUGCUGACGAGUGGCGAACGGGUGAGUAAUACAUCGGAACGUGCCCAGUCGUGGGGGAUAACUACUCGAAAGAGUAGCUAAUACCGCAUACGAUCUGAGGAUGAAAGCGGGGGACCUUCGGGCCUCGCGCGAUGGGAGCGGCCGAUGGCAGAUUAGGUAGUUGGUGGGAUAAAAGCUUACCAAGCCGACGAUCUGUAGCUGGUCUGAGAGGACGACCAGCCACACUGGGACUGAGACACGGCCCAGACUCCUACGGGAGGCAGCAGUGGGGAAUUUUGGACAAUGGGCGAAAGCCUGAUCCAGCAAUGCCGCGUGCAGGAUGAAGGCCUUCGGGUUGUAAACUGCUUUUGUACGGAACGAAAAAGCUUCUCCUAAUACGAGAGGCCCAUGACGGUACCGUAAGAAUAAGCACCGGCUAACUACGUGCCAGCAGCCGCCGUAAUAC